GCCAGGUGUGGUGGCGCACACCUGUAGUCCCAGUUACAUGAGAGGCUGAGGUGGGAGGAUCACCUGAGCCCAGGAGGUCAAGGCUGCAGUGAGCUGUGAUAAUGCCACUGCACUCCAGCCUGGGCAACAGUGAGACCCUGUCUCAC
rnacentral:SRP_RNA from 2 species